rnacentral:rRNA from 1 species
UCUUUUGGGUAUUUUCAAAAGUCUAACCUGCUCACUGAGUAAUUAAAGAGCUGCAGUAUCUUGACUGUGCAAAGGUAGCAUAAUCAAUAGUCUUUUAAUUAGGGGCUUGUAUGAAAGGUUUGAUGAAAAAUUAAUUUUCUUUAUUUAAUUAAAAUGAAAUUAAAUUUUAAGUGAAAAUUCUUAAAUUUUUUAAAAAGACGAGAAGACCCUAUAGAUUUUUAUUAAUUAUUAGUUAUAUUUUUAUAAUUGAUGUGUUAAUUUAAUUGGGGUGAUUUUGUAAAAUAACAAACUUAAUUUAAUAUAACCAUUUAUAAAUGAUAUUGUUGAUUUAAAAUUUUUUGAAAAAGAUUAAAUUACCUUAGGGAUAACAGCGUAAUUUUAUUUAUAAGUUCUUAUUUAUAAUAAAGUUUACGACCUCGAUGUUGAAUUAGGAUGGGGUGUUGGAGCAAAAAUUAACAUUUUUAGUCUGUUCGACUAUUAAAUUC